AUUGAACGCUGGCGGCAGGCCUAACACAUGCAAGUCGAGCGGCAGCACUUCGGGUGGCGAGCGGCGAACGGGUGAGUAAUACAUGGGAAUCUGCCUGGUAGUGGGGGAUAACUCUGGGAAACUAGAGGUAAUACCGCAUACGCCCUACGGGGAAAGGCGGGGGAGUCUUCGGACCUCGCGCUAUCAGAGGAGCCCAUGUCCGAUUAGCUAGUUGGUGAGGUAAAGGCUCACCAAGGCGACGAUCGGUAACUGGUCUGAGAGGAUGGUCAGUCACACUGGAACUGAGACACGGUCCAGACUCCUACGGGAGGCAGCAGUGGGGAAUAUUGGACAAUGGGGGCGAACCCUGAUUCAGCCAUGCCGCGUGUGUGAAGAAGGCC
rnacentral:rRNA from 1 species